GGUAGGAGGUUUUCAUGGGUCAAUAUCACACAACCCAUUGUAACCGCAUCUGUUCUGAGCCACCCAGUAUCUUAAGCUACACUUUUUCUUCCUUUCUGUUCCGUGUGAUGUAGGGAAAAGAGAGGACCUGAACAAAGCACAGAAGCAGGAGCUUAGGAAGCUGGCUGAGGAAUAUAAUAUUCCAAAUGAGAAUACCCAGCACUUGGUGCCCACAGACACUUGUAACCAAUAAAGACUCCAUAUGGCUUCACAAAGGACAGCAAGGUCAGCAAUAUUUCCCACAUCACCUUUUCCAUGAAAUCAGAAUCGUGACAAUGAAGAUAACUCAUCCUUUUCUUAUUUUUUCUUUUCAUCUUUCCUAUGAAGCCAGAAAAUCUGCUUCGUGGAUUUGUUUCCCACCCUCCUAUCAUGGUACUGAUUCUUCUGUUGAUAAAAUAAAUUUAUUUUUCA
rnacentral:sRNA from 1 species